rnacentral:lncRNA from 1 species
UUAUUCCCCUUCAAAAUAAUGCAUUUACAAGUGGCUAAAAAUCUUUCCGGAUCUGAUAAUAAUUUUGGAUUUUACAAGUCCUUUGGCUUUAAUUCUAAUGCAGCCUUACUUUCUGCAGAACCUUUACUUUAUGACAUACUGUUCAUCAUGUGAACCUCUGCAUUAUGAGAUACUACUGUUGAUCAUGUGAAUAUCAGCAUUAUGGGAUACAACUGUUGAUCAUGUGAAUAUCAGCAUUAUUUCGUUGCAAUGUUAUGCUAUGCCUAUAAAUAGGUUCACAUACAAUAUGCACAAUGCACACACAACCAUAGACCUCACACAAGAUAUAGUUCAUCAUAAAUCAUGAGUUACACACCAGGUGAUCUGUUUGUUGCCAUGGGUAGAAAAUGGUGGUGUGAUGAUGACUUUACGUACUCUUUAAACCCUAAUUU